rnacentral:rRNA from 1 species
UACAGAGGGUGCGAGCGUUAAUCGGAAUUACUGGGCGUAAAGCGUGCGUAGACGGCUAUCUAAGUCGGGUGUGAAAGCCCCGGGCUCAACCUGGGAAUUGCAUUCGAGACUGAAUAGCUAGGGUACGGUAGAGGGAAGCGGAAUUUCCGGUGUAGCGGUGAAAUGCGUAGAUAUCGGAAGGAACAUCAGUGGCGAAAGCGGCUUCC